GCCUUGGAAGCCACACAAGGAGGGCCCAGGCCCAAAUCAGCCGGAAACCCUCAGUCCAUACGGAGACUGGUGCCCGAAUAGCUCCACUGGGGACAGACAGGAGAACACUAUGUGAAGAUUGGAUUUACGUGACCACAAGUCAAGGAACUUCCAGAAGCCAGGAAAGAGGCCUGGAACAGAUCCUUCCCCAGCUUCUUCAGAGGGAAUGCAGCCCUGUGGGCACCCUGAUCUCACACUUCUGGCCUCCAGAAUUUAAGAGAGUAAAUUCCAGUUGUCUAAACCA